rnacentral:rRNA from 1 species
GAGGAAUAUUGGACAAUGGGUGAAAGCCUGAUCCAGCCAUCCCGCGUGAAGGAUGACGGUCCUAUGGAUUGUAAACUUCUUUUGUACGGGGAUAAACCUACCCUCGUGAGGGUAGCUGAAGGUACUGUACGAAUAAGCACCGGCUAACUCCGUGCCAGCAGCCGCGGUAAUACGGAGGGUGCAAGCGUUAUCCGGAUUUAUUGGGUUUAAAGGGUCCGUAGGCGGACCUGUAAGUCAGUGGUGAAAUCUCAUAGCUUAACUAUGAAACUGCCAUUGAUACUGCAGGUCUUGAGUAAAUUUGAAGUGGCUGGAAUAAGUAGUGUAGCGGUGAAAUGCAUAGAUAUUACUUAGAACACCAAUCACGAAGGCAGGUCACUAAGAUUUAACUGACGCUGAUGGACGAAAGCGUGGGUAGCGAAC